rnacentral:rRNA from 1 species
GUGAGGAAUAUUGCGCAAUGGAGGCAACUCUGACGCAGCCAUGCCGCGUGCAGGAAGAAGGCGCUACGCGUUGUAAACUGCUUUUAACCGGGAAGAAACCCCAGGACGUGUCCUGGGUUGACGGUACCGGAGGAAUAAGCACCGGCUAACUUCGUGCCAGCAGCCGCGGUAAUACGAAGGGUGCAAGCGUUAUCCGGAUUCAUUGGGUUUAAAGGGUGCGUAGGCGGAGCGUUAAGUCAGUGGUGAAAUCCUGCAGCUUAACUGUAGACUUGCCAUUGAUACUGGCGCUCUUGAGUGCGCUUGAAGUGGGCGGAAUGUGCCGUGUAGCGGUGAAAUGCUUAGAUAUGACACAGAACACCAAUUGCGAAGGCAGCUCACUAAGGCGAUACUGACGCUGAGGCACGAAAGCGUGGGGAUCGAACAGGAUUAGAAACCCGAGUAGUCC